AAGUCGUAACAAGGUUUCCGUAGGUGAACCUGCGGAAGGAUCAUUAGAGAAUUUUGGUUAGUCGAAAGACUUUCCUAAUACUUUAUUCCAUAAACACCUGUGCACCUUUUUUAUAUUAUAUUGGAUGUUGUUAGCUAUUAGUCGAAAGGCGAACGCAACCUCAUCUGAUGUAAACACUACAAACAUAUUAGUCUUGAAUGUAAAAUAAAUUGUAACAAAAAUACAACUUUCAACAACGGAUCUCUUGGCUCUCGCAUCGAUGAAGAACGCAGCGAAAUGCGAUAAGUAAUGUGAAUUGCAGAAUUCAGUGAAUCAUCGAAUCUUUGAACGCAAAUUGCGCUCUUUGGUAUUCCGAAGAGCAUGCCUGUUUGAGUGUCAUAUAGACUUCACCUAAUCAUUUUUUAAUUAAGUGGUUGCGGUGCUUUGGACGUCUGCCAUUAACCUUGGCUCGUCUUAAAUGUCUAAGUGGAUAUUAGCGUGAUAAGUCUUCGCUAUCAUUGUCCACUCUAAUACUUUUUAAGCUCUGACCUCAAAUCAGGUAGGACUACCCGCUGAACUUAA
rnacentral:rRNA from 1 species